AGUGAACGCUGGCGGUAGGCCUAACACAUGCAAGUCGAACGGCAGCACAGUAAGAGCUUGCUCUUACGGGUGGCGAGUGGCGGACGGUUGAGGAAUACAUCGGAAUCUACUUUUUCGUGGGGGAUAACGUAGGGAAACUUACGCUAAUACCGCAUACGACCUCCGGGUGAAAGCAGGGGAUCUUCGGACCUUGCGCGAUUGAAUGAGCCGAUGUCGGAUUAGCUAGUUGGCGGGGUAAAGGCCCACCAAGGCGACGAUCCGUAGCUGGUCUGAGAGGAUGAUCAGCAACAGGGGAGCUGAGACACGGUCCAGACUCCUAAGGGAGGCAGCAGUGGGGAAUCUGGGACAAGGGGCGCAAGCCUGAACCAGCCAUAGCGCGUGGGUGAAGAAGGCCUGCGGGUUGUAAAGCAUUUUUGUUGGGAAAGAAAAGAAGCAGGUUAAGACCCCGCUGUUCUGACGGUACCCAAAGAAUAAGCCCCGGCAACUUUCGU
rnacentral:rRNA from 1 species